rnacentral:rRNA from 1 species
GACGAACGCUGGCGGCAGGCUUAACACAUGCAAGUCGAGCGCCCCGCAAGGGGAGCGGCAGACGGGUGAGUAACGCGUGGGAAUCUACCCAUCUCUACGGAAUAACGCAUGGAAACGUGUGCUAAUACCGUAUACGUCCUUCGGGAGAAAGAUUUAUCGGAGAUGGAUGAGCCCGCGUUGGAUUAGCUAGUUGGUGGGGCAAAGGCCUACCAAGGCGACGAUCCAUAGCUGGUCUGAGAGGAUGAUCAGCCACACUGGGACUGAGACACGGCCCAGACUCCUACGGGAGGCAGCAGUGGGGAAUAUUGGACAAUGGGCGCAAGCCUGAUCCAGCCAUGCCGCGUGAGUGAUGAAGGCCCUAGGGUUGUAAAGCUCUUUCACCGGUGAAGAUAAUGACGGUAACCGGAGAAGAAGCCCCGGCUAACUUCGUGCCAGCAGCCGCGGUAACAC